rnacentral:misc_RNA from 1 species
GAUGAAGAACGUAGCGAAAUGCGAUAAGUAAUGUGAAUUGCAGAAUUCAGUGAAUCAUCGAAUCUUUGAACGCACAUUGCGCCCCUUGGUAUUCCGAGGGGCAUGCCUGUUCGAGCGUCAUUAUAACCCCUCAAGCUCAGCUUGGUGUUGGGGCCUGCUGCACUGGCAGCCCUUAAAAUCAGUGGCGGCGCCAUCUGGCUCUAAGCGUAGUAAUUCUUCUCGCUAUGGAGUCCUGGUGGAUGCUUGCCAUCAACCCCCAAUUUUUCUAUGGUUGACCACGGAUCAGGUAGGGAUACCCGCUGAACUUAAGCAUAUCAAUAAGCGGAGGA